GACGAACGCUGGCGGCGUGCCUACUACAUGCAAGUAGGACGCAGUUGCGAACGGGUGAGUCACGCGUAGGUAACUACCUAUUAGAGGGGGCUAACUAUUGGAAACGAUAGCUAAUACCGCAUACUAGUAGAUGCAACUGCGUUGUAUUAGCUAGUAGGUAGGGUAAUGGCCUACCAAGGCAACGAUACAGAGCCGCACUGAGAUGGUGAUCGGCCACACUGGUACGUAGACACGGCCCAGACCCCUACGGGAGGCAGCAGUAGGGAAUCUUCGGCAAUGGGGGGAACCCUGACCGAGCAACGCCGCGAGAGUGCAGAAGAUUUUCGGGUCGUAAAGCUCUGUUGGUAAGGAAGCGGUACUUAACCAGAAAGGGACGGCUAACUACGUGCCAGCAGGGGCGGUAAUAC
rnacentral:rRNA from 1 species